GCAGACGUAGUUCAACUGGAUAGAAUAUCGGAUUUCGGCUCCGAGGGUUGAGGGUUCGAAUCCUUCCGUCUGUA
rnacentral:tRNA from 2 species